rnacentral:rRNA from 1 species
UACGUAGGGGGCAAGCGUUGUCCGGAAUUAUUGGGCGUAAAGCGCGCGCAGGCGGUCCUUUAAGUCUGAUGUGAAAGCCCACGGCUCAACCGUGGAGGGUCAUUGGAAACUGGGGGACUUGAGUACAGAAGAGGAAAGUGGAAUUCCACGUGUAGCGGUGAAAUGCGUAGAGAUGUGGAGGAACACCAGUGGCGAAGGCGACUUUCUGGUCUGUAACUGACGCUGAGGCGCGAAAGCGUGGGGAGCAAACAGG